rnacentral:rRNA from 1 species
GACGAACGCUGGCGGCGUGCUUAACACAUGCAAGUCGAACGGAAAGGCCUGCUUUCCCUUGUGGAUUGCGGGUACUCGAGUGGCGAACGGGUGAGUAACACGUGAGUGAUCUGCCCCCAACUUGGGUAUAAGCCUGGGAAACUGGGUCUAAUUCCCGAUAGGACUGCAGGGUGGUGCCUGUGGUGGAAAACGAUUUUCUAGUGGUUGGGGAUGAGCUCGCGGCCUAUCAGCUUGUUGGUGGGGUAAUGGCCUACCAAGGCGGCGACGGGUAGCCGGCCUGAGGGGGUGGACCGGCACAGUGGGACUGAGCUGCGGCCCAGACUCCUACGGGCGGCAGCAGUGGGGACGAGUGGACGAUGGGCGGAAGCCUGAUGCAGCGACGCCGCGUGGGGGAUGACGGGCUUCGGGUGGUAAGCUCCUUUCGACCGCGAGGAAGCCACCUGGUUGGAAGGGUGGUGACGGUAGUGGUAGAAGAAGCACCGGCUAACUACGUG